rnacentral:misc_RNA from 1 species
GAUGAAGAACGCAGCGAAAUGCGAUAAGUAAUGUGAAUUGCAGAAUUCAGUGAAUCAUCGAAUCUUUGAACGCACAUUGCGCCCGCCAAUAUUCUGGCGGGCAUGCCUGUUCGAGCGUCAUUUCAACCAUCAAGCCCCCGGCUUGUGUUGGGGACCUGCGGCUGCCGCAGGCCCUGAAAACCAGUGGCGGGCUCGCUAGUCACUCCGAGCGUAGUAAUACAUCUCGCUCAGGGCGUGCUGCGGGUUCCGGCCGUUAAAAAGCCUUAUUUACCCAAGGUUGACCUCGGAUCAGGUAGGAAGACCCGCUGAACUUAAGCAUAUCAAUAAGCGGAGGA